GCUAGUGCCUUUAAUGGGUUAUCUGUAAAACAAGCUUCAUUUAUGUGAAGAAUAGAUGGAACAUGAGCAAGCUUCGCAUUGGAACGAGAAGUUGUAAGGAUUUUUUAUUUUGUCGGAUCGUGUCCAGUGAGCUUAAGCAUGUUGUGGUCAUUUCCAUCAAAGUUCCAUUAUAACAAAGGUCUUUCACGAACCCAAAGAAGUCGACAAUUAGCGAUGCAACUAAUUGAUGGAUGAGCUUCCUUCUUGGGGUUGGCGUGUGAUUUGUGUUUGUAGGAAUUUGAACAUGUUUAAUAUAAUGUACUAGCAAGUCCGAGAAUAUUUCGAGAAUAUUAUAUAUAUUUCAAGUUGGUUAUCUAAAUUAAUGUAUUUGUGAUUUCGAUUGACAAUUUAAUUACACGAGAUUUAAAUAUUAC